AUUUAAAUAGUUUAAAUUUAAAAUAUUGAAUUGUGAUUUCAAUGAUGUUUAAAAACUUUAAAUU
rnacentral:tRNA from 1 species